rnacentral:rRNA from 1 species
UGCAAGUCGAGCGGUAACACAGAGAGCUUGCUCCCGGGUGACGAGCGGCGGACGGGUGAGUAAUGUCUGGGAAACUGCCUGAUGGAGGGGGAUAACUACUGGAAACGGUAGCUAAUACCGCAUAACGUCGCAGACCAAAGAGGGGGACCUUCGGGCCUCUUGCCAUCACAUGUGCCCAGAUGGGAUUAGCUAGUAUGUGGGGUAACGGCUCACCUAGGCGACAAUCCCUAUCUGGUCUGAGAGGAUGACCAGCCACACUGGAACUGAGACACGGUCCACACUCCUACGGGAGGCAGCAGUGGGGAAUAUUGCACAAUGGGCGCAAGCCUGAUGCACCCAUGCCGCGUGUAUGAAAAAAGCCUUCGGGUUGUAAAGUACUUUCAGCGGGGAGGAAGGUGUUGAGGUUAAUAACCUCACCAAUUGACGUUACCCGCACAAAAAACACCGGCUAACUCCGUGCCAGCAGCCGCGGUAAUACGGAGGGUGCAAGCGUUAAUCGGAAUUACUGGGCGUAAAGCGCACGCACGCGGUCUGUCAAGUCUGAUGUGAAAUCCCCGGGCUCAACCUGGGAACUGCAUUCUAAACUGGCAGGCUAUAGUCUUGUAUAGGGGGGUAGAAUUCCAGGUGUAUCGGUGAAAUGCGUAUAGAUCUGGAGGAAUACCGGUGGCGAAAGCGGCCCCCCUGGACAAAGACUGACGCUCGGUGCGAAAGCGUGGGGAGCAAACAGGAUUAUAUACCCUGGUAGUCCACGCCGUAAACGAUGUCGACUUGGAGGUUGUGCCCUUGAG